ensembl:lncRNA
GUGGGACCUUAGGACCUGGGAGCCUCAGCAUAGAGCGGGAGGCUUUAACUCAAGGAGAGCCUCUCCAUAUAAAGGAGAUCCCGUGAGAGUUGAGCAACUCACGUUUGUUCUCGUUGUCCGGCAUGUGCUGAAGUCUGGGUUGCUUUGUUUGUUGCUCGCCAGUACCGUGCGGGUGAGCAAACUGUACUAAGGAGAAGGUCAGACCUGAACCAGACCUGGUGAGCCCAGGGUCCUACCUGCUGGUGCACAGGUGCAUUGGGCCAAGGAGGCUGAACUGUGGUCAGCAGGACAGCCACUGCUCUUUUUCUCCGACCAUAGUUUUAGUUUAGAUUAUGCUCUAGUGCCUCCAUCUUGCUCCCUCUAUUUAUAGAAAUAACACACUGAUAUUGUGCCUUUUUGAUGACCGUUGCUUCCCCCUUCCCCACUUCUAUUGUGUUGUGUCUUUUAACCAGGAUCAGUAAUCGUAUUUGAGUGUGUUGGUUUGUAGUGUUGGUUAUUUUAGCCUUUCUUAACAGUGUGCAGUGUUUUUAUUGUUGGAAGUGUCAUUGUGCCCCCGGUCAAUCACUACUGGUAUAAAUUAUUUGGAUGUGGUUUUAUAGAGUUAUUGUUUAAAUAAAAGUGAUAUUGCAUUGUACACGCAG